AUACUAGCUUUAGGAGUAAAUAUAUUAAAAUUAGAUCACACAGAGAAGGUUAGCAUGGUCUCUGUGCAAGGAUGACACACAAAUUUCAUGAAGAUCUUUAUCUAGUC
ensembl:snRNA U6 U6 spliceosomal RNA